UACGUAGGUGGCAAGCGUUGUCCGGAUUUACUGGGCGUAAAGAGCGCGCAGGCGGUCGUUCAAGUCGCGUGUGAAAGCCCCCGGCUCAACUGGGGAGGGUCACGCGAUACUGAUCGACUCGAAGGCAGGAGAGGGUAGUGGAAUUCCCGGUGUAGUGGUGAAAUGCGUAGAUAUCGGGAGGAACACCAGUGGCGAAGGCGGGUCUCUGGGCCGAGUACUGACGCUGAGGAGCGAAAGCGUGGGGAGCGAACAGG
rnacentral:rRNA from 1 species